rnacentral:rRNA from 1 species
AAACUCAAAGGAAUUGACGGGGGAGCACCACAACAGGUGGAGCCUGCGGUUUAAUCGGACUCAACGCCGGGAAGCUCACCGGAUAAGACAGCGGAAUGAUAGCCGGGCUGAAGACUCUGCUUGACUAGCUGAGAGGAGGUGCAUGGCCGUCGUCAGUUCGUACUGUGAAGCAUCCUGUUAAGUCAGGCAACGAGCGAGACCCACGCCAACAGUUGCCAGCAUGUCCUCCGGAAUGGUGGGGACACUGUUGGGACCGCCUCUGCUAAAGAGGAGGAAGGAAUGGGCAACGGUAGGUCAGCAUGCCCCGAAUUAUCCGGGCUACACGCGGGCUACAAUGGUCAGGACAAUGGGCAUCAACACCGAAAGGUGAAGGCAAUCUCUUAAACCUGUCCUUAGUUCGGAUUGUGGGCUGCAACUCGCCCACAUGAAGCUGGAAUCUGUAGUAAUCGCGUCUCAAAAUGGCGCGGUGAAUAUGUCCCUGCUCCUU